AGGUGUCUCACCGUGUUGCCUGGGCUGGUCCUCAAGCAAUCCUCCUGCCUCAGCCUCUGAUUCACUGGUAUUAGGUUGUGAGUCACCACACCCAGCUCUACCUUUCAGCCCUUCUUACACAUGGCUCCAUUGGAGAGGCAGACACAGCUUUUCCCAGACCUUGGCCUGCACAAGUGUUAUAGGAUCUGUCGAGGGGUGACGAGGGUGAGGCGGAGCUGGAAGAGCCAGGGGGCAGAUUCACCACCUUCUCCUGCAGUCUCUGGUUGGUAUUUAUGUCCUCAUGCUUAAAAGUUCAUAUUCCCUGAAUCCCAGGGUUUUGCAUUCAUAGUAAGAACUGAAAUAUUUAUUUUAUUUUAUAUAUAUAAUUUUUUUUGA